GCGGGAAUAGCUCAGUUGGUAGAGCACGACCUUGCCAAGGUCGGGGUCGCGAGUUCGAGUCUCGUUUNGUUUA
rnacentral:tRNA from 1 species